rnacentral:misc_RNA from 1 species
CGUCUGCUGAAUCAGUUGUGGG